GAAAUCCUGGUAUUGAUUUGGGGAAAUAAGAACCUCCGUGUCCUGCUAUAUGAGUAGAGGAUGACUCACCAAAGCACCCAAGUUGGUUAGAAAGCUUGAUUCAAUAAAGUGAUCUGUUUUAUUUCUACUUCUUUGGUAUUGCUACAUUCUUGUCACGAUUGGUAACUAAAAGUGUCCCCUUUUUGGUUAACUGAAGUGAUUGCAAAGGAGCUGGGCGUGCAGGGGCAUGGGAUGCCCGUGACAGUGACCAACACCACCUACAUGGGCAUGAACGCCCUCCAUGGCACCGCUGGCCUGGGCAAGCCGUGCCGGUCUACCGUAGCUCGUGGAGGUUGUCAAGAUGUAUGUCCACAUGCCGACACUGCUCAGGGUACCUUCUUGAUACUGGCGUUGAUAUAAAUCAGAAACGUUUGAGCAUCACUAGACUUCGACGCUUCCCGCCUUGCCCGUCCGGUGGUCGCUUCUUGUUUGAAUCUGUCAUAGGAUUUGGCGUUGGGGUCCAAUUUCAACGCUGGGGAGAGCUGGUGCCAUGGCGGGCUACUAUGUUGUUGGGGUUCAUUUUCCAACGAUUGUAGUCUUGCAGAGGUUAUGCCUAGGUGCCGUGUGCAGUAGGGUGCUGGCUUGCCCAACACCAUCCCCUGCAUGUGUUCCUCCGUGGACCUCGUCAGAUACUGCGAGGGGCAUGGGAUGGUACAACAGUUGCAUCAAGGAUGAUAAACCAACAUGUGGUGUGCGUGCAAAGGAGCUAGGCGUGCAGGGGCAUGGGAUGCUGGUGACAGUGGACAAAAGCCCCUACAUCGGCAUGAGCGACCUGGACGUCUCCGCGGGCUUCUGCAAGCUGCCGGUCUACGGGUAGCUCGUGGAGGUAGUCAAGGUGUACGUUGACAUGCCAACGCCGCUCAGAGUAACUAAUUCGUCUGCUCAGAGUUGGUCAAGAUGUAAGUGCUGGCCGCUGCCCGUCUGAUUCUGUAGAUGAUGGUACGCAUGUACUGUAGACGUUUGGCUCCACUGGGAAAUUUCCGUCAGUUUGGUUCAUAAGCUGCGAGUGUCUUUACACUAGUGUAAGUUGCAUGUGCAAUUCAACAUUGUUUGUCUGUUUUUAUUUUGUGUCAAUCUCUG